rnacentral:rRNA from 1 species
UGACCUCAAUUCAGGCAAGAAUACCCGCUGAACUUAAGCAUAUCAUUAAGCGGAGGA